UCAGGAUGAACGCUAGCUACAGGCUUAACACAUGCAAGUCGAGGGGCAGCAUCAUCAAAGCUUGCUUUGAUGGAUGGCGACCGGCGCACGGGUGAGUAACACGUAUCCAACCUGCCGACAACACUGGGAUAGCCUUUCGAAAGAAAGAUUAAUACCGGAUGGCAUAGUUUUCCCGCAUGGGAUAAUUAUUAAAGAAUUUCGGUUGUCGAUGGGGAUGCGUUCCAUUAGGCAGUUGGCGGGGUAACGGCCCACCAAACCAACGAUGGAUAGGGGUUCUGAGAGGAAGGUCCCCCACAUUGGAACUGAGACACGGUCCAAACUCCUACGGGAGGCAGCAGUGAGGAAUAUUGGUCAAUGGACGAGAGUCUGAACCAGCCAAGUAGCGUGAAGGAUGACUGCCCUAUGGGUUGUAAACUUCUUUUAUACGGGAAUAAAGUUAGCCACGUGUGGCUUUUUGUAUGUACCGUAUGAAUAAGGAUCGGCUAACUCCGUGCCAGCAGCCGCGGUAAUACGGAGGAUCCGAGCGUUAUCCGGAUUUAUUGGGUUUAAAGGGAGCGUAGGCGGGUUGUUAAGUCAGUUGUGAAAGUUUGCGGCUCAACCGUAAAAUUGCAGUUGAUACUGGCGACCUUGAGUGCAACAGAGGUAGGCGGAAUUCGUGGUGUAGCGGUGAAAUGCUUAGAUAUCACGAAGAACUCCGAUUGCGAAGGCAGCUUACUGGAUUGUAACUGACGCUGAUGCUCGAAAGUGUGGGUAUCAAACAGGAUUAGAUACCCUGGUAGUCCACACAGUAAACGAUGAAUACUCGCUGUUGGCGAUAUACGGUCAGCGGCCAAGCGAAAGCAUUAAGUAUUCCACCUGGGGAGUACGCCGGCAACGGUGAAACUCAA
rnacentral:rRNA from 1 species